ACUCCUACGGGAGGCAGCAGUGGGGAAUUUUGGACAAUGGGCGAAAGCCUGAUCCAGCAAUGCCGCGUGAGUGAAGAAGGCCUUCGGGUUGUAAAGCUCUUUUGUCAGGGAAGAAACGGUGAAAGCUAAUAUCUUUUGCUAAUGACGGUACCUGAAGAAUAAGCACCGGCUAACUACGUGCCAGCAGCCGCGGUAAUCCGUAGGGUGCAAGCGUUAAUCGGAAUUACUGGGCGUAAAGCGUGCGCAGGCGGUUUUGUAAGUCUGAUGUGAAAUCCCCGGGCUCAACCUGGGAAUUGCAUUGGAGACUGCAAGGCUAGAAUCUGGCAGAGGGGGGUAGAAUUCCACGUGUAGCAGUGAAAUGCGUAGAUAUGUGGAGGAACACCGAUGGCGAAGGCAGCCCCCUGGGUCAAGAUUGACGCUCAUGCACGAAAGCGUGGGGAGCAAACAGGAUUAGAUACCCUUGUAGUCCCAUGA
rnacentral:rRNA from 1 species